rfam:Schistosoma curassoni strain Dakar, Senegal genome assembly, scaffold: SCTD_scaffold0007942
AUUCGGCUGACGAGUCCCAAAUAAGAAGGAACGUACGUCGUGAAU